rnacentral:tRNA from 1 species
AGUUUUAUAUUCAAUAAAUGAUAUUAAAUUGCAAAUUUAAAGUAGUAAAAAAGUUACUAAAACUU